rnacentral:rRNA from 1 species
GUCCACGCUGUAAACGAUGAGAACUAGAUGCAUGGUAACUGAGGUUACUGUGUAUUGAAGCUAACGCAUUAAGUUCUCCGCCUGGGGAGUACGGCCGCAAGGUUAAAACUCAAAGGAAUUGACGGGGGCCCGCACAAGCGGUGGAGCAUGUGGUUUAAUUCGAUGCAACGCGAAAAACCUUACCUACCCUUGACAUCCUGGGGAGCUUUCAGAGAUGAGAGUGUGCCUGCAAAGGAGCCUAGAGACAGGUGCUGCAUGGCUGUCGU